rnacentral:tRNA from 6 species
GCGGGAGUAGCUCAGGGGUAGAGCAUCGGCCUCCCAUGCCGAGGGUCGCGGGUUCGAAUCCCGUCUCCCGCUCCA